AUGGGCAAGUACACGACCCGCAUCAGUGCUCUACUUCUCCUCGUGUGCCUUGCUACUACUACACAAUGUCGAGUCAUUGAUGGCAUCGAUAAGGAGAAGAUAAAUGUAUCAUUGUGUGUUUACAAAGAAAGCCUUGAUGACUACUGUUGCAAAGUGACGAAUCAGUGUUACAUAACAAUCGAGGCAUGCCUUAAGGAGUGCAAAGGCAUGGCGGCGAUGCCAACCCCUCCUUUAGCUACCCCAUCUCCAUUCCUGUCAAAUUGA
rnacentral:rRNA from 1 species